ACUUGAAGUCGCGUGUUUGCAUGAGUUUUUUGAAGUGCUGUUGGGGCUGGGGCUGCGUGAUCGUCACUGGCGUCCUCCAGAGUGCCCACCGAUCAGAAAGUCGUACGAACCGCAAGCUUUGAACGUCUGUUUAUCGCACCAUCGAAAGCGGCGGUACAGAAGGCGCGAUGUGAGCUCCGGUGGGAACAGCAGCCCUUUGUCUCGUAACGGUGCCGUCCAGACUGGCCAUGAGACCAGCGAGUUUGCUGUAGAAACAGCCAUUUGGGAGUGGCUGCGUCACGCUUCUGCCAGGCACAGAACUGCCAUUGCCAAGGACUGUGCCACUGAACAGCCCGGAUAUGUGUGACAUGGUUCCCUCGGCCUGUUGUACCUUUACCUAUCACCCGCGGCAUCUAGCUGCCAGUGUGAUCUUGCUUUCUUCAGCGCUGUGCCACUGAACAGCCCGGACACGUCUGACAUGGUCUCCUAGGCCUGCUGUACUUUCACCCAUCACCCGUGGCGUCUAGAUCCAGUGUGCCGAGUUGUCCAAUACUGCCAAGUGCUUUAUGAUGUCACCAAUGUGCCAAAUGCUCUAGUACUGUUAUGUGCUCCGCCACUCUGCCAUGCCCUCUCCACAUCUCCAGUAUAUAAAGUGUCCCAUGGCGUCUGCAUUUGCGAACUGCAUUACCAAGUCUCCAAGUGCUCCAGUACUGUGUUAUAUGCUCCGCUGCUGUGCCGAGUGCUCUCCGUUUAUGCAGUAUACCGAGUGCCCAUUGCGUCUCCGCAUUUUACCAAGUGCUCCGAUAUUGUCAAAUGCUUGACCACGUCUGGAAUGUGCCAUGUGCUCCACUGCUGUGCCAAGUGUAUACUUUGUAAAUGAUAUACAUGUCUUCAGUUCAUCCAAUACCUCUAUUGCAUAACUUAUCCAUACAGUUGGUCUUCACAUAGACUUCUAUGUCAUUAUGUACACAUAUUGUAGAGUUGUGUUACUGUUUCUGUAGAGUAGAUGUCAACAUGUUUUUUUUUUCUUCAUAGAAGGCUACAGCGCGGAUCCAACAAAGACAAGGAACACAGACACAGUGCUGACUUUCAAGAAGAAUCAGCUUUCUGAAAGUCAGUGCUGUGUCUCUUCUUUGUGUGCCUCUCCUGUCUUCGUCGGUUUCGUGCCAUGGCCUUCUACGAUGUUCAACCAACAAGCCCAACUGGUUACUCUGCUCAAAUGUAUUUUCUACCACUGUUGGCACCUUUGUGCUGUUUCCUAUAUCAAGUGCCCAGCUUGCUGCUGCCAUUGAUGUCAUCAUUGCCAAAACAGCUUUCAUAAAUAACAGCAUAAAUUUGGACAGCACAAUAUUAUUUUUAAAUUUUCAUUUCAUUCUUAUAAAGAAGAUUGUACUUAUUUGUUUAUUUCUACUCACAUUCAACAGAUAUC